UUGUGGAGGAGGACGCCGAAGGUGGGGCUAAUGACUGGGGUGAAGUCGUAACAAGGUAGCCGUACCGGAAGGUGCGGCUGGAUCACCUCCUAACAGGGAGACAACAAAAUGUUUAAUAUUAUUAUUUUGUCACCUUAGGUCGAUCGGUAUCUCACGCUUUUAAUUUAUUAAGAAUUUCAUUUCCUAAGUUUUUCUAGGUCACACCCAUUAUUUUUCCUGGGCCAUUAGCUCAGGUGGUUAGAGCGCACCCCUGAUAAGGGUGAGGUCCCUGGUUCAAGUCCAGGAUGGCCCAUAUCUCUAUGUUGGGGGUAUAGCUCAGUUGGUAGAGCGCCUGCUUUGCAAGCAGGAUGUCAGCGGUUCGAGUCCGCUUACCUCCACUGAUUACCACCUCUUCCAUAACCGGUAGUAAAGGAAAUGUUUUGAGUUGUGAUCAAAUUCUGAAAGAAUCUAGCUUCCUAAUGAAAUCAUUAAGAUGCUGGACUCAUUGAAUUAAUUUCAUUGUUUUCAGAGAACCUUGACAACUGCAUAGAUUAUUUUUAAAGACAAUAAGCAUCAUUAAUGAUGCAGAUUUAUUAUUUGUGCGAAUGCAUUAAUAACAAUUCUAUUAAGCUGAUGCUUCAAUUUUUGAAGUUAUUGGUCAAGCUACAA
rnacentral:misc_RNA from 1 species